rnacentral:misc_RNA from 1 species
AGAAAAAAUGAUUGACAUUCUUUCAGAAUAUCCAUAAGUAACCCUAAUGCCUAAUUGAAAUUCUGAUUUCACAAUACAAAAAAAAUUUUUGUUAAAUGCAUUAUUAGAAUCUUAGUCUAUAUAAAUAACUCAAUUUUAAUGCAGUUGAAUUCUUUAUGAAAAAUACAGUUUUUGGAAUGUAAAACCAAUAAGCUCUUAAUAACUAUAACAUGAAAUUUUAAAUAGCAUUUAUUUAAUAUUGCUAACAUCAUGAGCCUACAUUGAUUUUCAACAGUAUUUUGAAAUUUCUCCUUCAUAACAGACAUAAGGGAAACCGUUUCUCUCAUGCUCUACAUGUCAUUGGUUCUCCAUU